rnacentral:rRNA from 1 species
UACGUAGGGUGCAAGCGUUGUCCGGAAUUAUUGGGCGUAAAGAGCUCGUAGGCGGUUUGUCGCGUCUGCUGUGAAAACUCGGGGCUUAACUUCGGAAAGGCAGUGGAACUGAACAGCUAGAGUAUGGUAGGGGCAGAGGGAAUUCCUGGUGUAGCGGUGAAAUGCGCAGAUAUCAGGAGGAACACCAGCGGCGAAGGCGGCGACCUGGUCCAUUACUGACGCUGAGGCGCGACAGCGUGGGGAGCAAACAGG